rnacentral:lncRNA from 1 species
CAAGGUGGAAACGAAGGAAAGCGCGUUGACGCCGGAAAAUAGAGCGGGGCGGUGACGAUUGCGGCAUCGCAGAGAGCAGCGGGGAGGGCCGGAGGAGCUCGGGAGCAUCUCUGGUCAAAUACUUUUAUUUGCUUAAAAUAAAAAAAAUUAACUAAAAAAAUAGAGAGCAAAAAAAAGAAGAUGAAAUUGCACUGUUAAGAUAAAAUUACACUAUUUUAGAAGAAUGUUGCAGUAUUAUAUAUAGAUAUAAGUAGCAUUCUUUGAGAUGUAAAUUACAACAUUUAAGAUGAAAGUUACACUCUUAGUAUUAUAUAUAGAUAUAAGUUGCAAUCUUUGAGGUGCAAAUUACAACAUUUAAGAUAAAAGUUACACUCUUUAAACGAAAGUUAUAUUUUUUGGUAGAUAGUUAUACUAUUUUUUCUCCCAAAGAGCAUUCUUUAGGAUGAAAGUUAUACUUUUUAAACGAAAGUUGUACUGUUCAAGAGAUAAUUAUACUAUUUUUCCUCCGAAAGAGCAUCAUUUAAGAUAAAAGUUAUACUAUUUAAAUAAAAGUUGCAGUCUUUGGGAGAUAGUUAUACUGUUUUUUCUCUCAAAAAGUACAACUUUUAUUUAAAGAGUGUAACUUUCAUCUUGAAUGGUACAAUUACAUCUUAAAGAGUGCAACUUAUGUUUAUAAUAGUGCAAUAUUUCUCUAAAACAGUGUAAUUUUAUUUUCACAGUGCAAUUUCAUCUCCUUCUUCCUUCUUCUUUAUUUCUUCUUCCUUACUUUCUAAUUUUUUAUUUUUAUUUUUUUUUAUUUUAAACAAACAAAAAUAUUUGACAAGAGAUGCUUCCAUGCACCCCUUGACCUCCUUGCCUCCGACCUCACUGAGGUCGCGCUCGCCGCUGCCCUUUGGGACGCCACACUCGCCACCGCCCCGCUCUCUUCUCCGGUGUCAUCACAUUCUCUUCCGUCUCCACCUCACUUGUCAUCGACCCCGGGCCGGCGCGAUGGGUCGCGCGCUCCCUCCCUCACCAGCGAGCUUCUUGACACCGAGAAGCGCUUCCUUUUCGUCGUCAGCGGCGGCGGUAAAGACGAUGGGUUCUCAGAAGUGGGUUUGGUGGGUGAAAAAUCAGCUACAGUGGAGAUGGAGGUGAAAGUGGGUCGUAAAGGGUUGCGGAGGCGGUGAGAGAAAGAAAAGAGGAUCGCGGCACAGCCUCAGCAAGGUUGGAGGUGAGUAGGCCGGCGGGUGAGCGAGAGCGCGUGCG